rnacentral:rRNA from 1 species
AACGAACGCUGGCGGCAGGCCUAACACAUGCAAGUCGAACGCCCCUUCGGGGGAGUGGCAGACGGGUGAGUAACGCGUGGGAACCUACCUGGUGGUACGGGAUAACUUCGGGAAACCGGAGCUAAUACCGCAUACGCCCUUCGGGGGAAAGAUUUAUCGCCAUCAGAUGGGCCCGCGUUGGAUUAGCUAGUUGGUGGGGUAAAAGCCUACCAAGGCGACGAUCCAUAGCUGGUUUGAGAGGAUGAUCAGCCACACUGGGACUGAGACACGGCCCAGACUCCUACGGGAGGCAGCAGUGGGGAAUAUUGGACAAUGGGCGCAAGCCUGAUCCAGCCAUGCCGCGUGAGUGACGAAGGCCUUAGGGUUGUAAAACUCUUUCAGCGGGGAAGAUAAUGACGGUACCCGCAGAAGAAGCCCCGGCUAACUCCGUG